UACAGAGGUCUCAAGCGUUGUUCGGAUUCAUUGGGCGUAAAGGGUGCGUAGGCGGCGCGGUAAGUCGGGUGUGAAAUCUCGGAGCUUAACUCCGAAACUGCAUUCGAUACUGCCGUGCUUGAGGACUGGAGAGGAGACUGGAAUUUACGGUGUAGCGGUGAAAUGCGUAGAUAUCAGGAGGAAUACCGAUGGCGAAGGCAGGUCUCUGGGCUAUAACUGACGCUCAUGCACGAAAGCGUGGGGAGCAAACAGG
rnacentral:rRNA from 1 species